rnacentral:rRNA from 1 species
AGUGAACGCUGGCGGUAGGCCUAACACAUGCAAGUCGAACGGCAGCACAGUAAGAGCUUGCUCUUACGGGUGGCGAGUGGCGGACGGGUGAGGAAUACAUCGGAAUCUACUUUUUCGUGGGGGAUAACGUAGGGAAACUUACGCUAAUACCGCAUACGACCUACGGGUGAAAGUAGGGGAUCUUCGGACCUUGCGCGAUUGAAUGAGCCGAUGUCGGAUGAGCUAGUUGGCGGGGUAAAGGCCCACCAAGGCGACGAUCCGUAGCUGGUCAGAGAGGAUGGUCAGGCAAACUGGAAGUGAAAAACGGUACAGACUCCUAAGGGAGGCAGCAGUGGGGAAUAGUGGACAAUGGGCGAAAGCAUGAUCCAGCCAUACCGCGUGGGUGAAGAAGGCCUGCGGGUUGUAAAGCCCUUUUGUUAGGAAAGAAAAGCAGCAGGUUAAUACCCCGCUGUUCUGACGGUACCCAAAGAAUAAGCACCGGCUAACUUCGUG